CUCUGACACAGAGGUGCAGGGACAGGCAGAGGUAACCUUGAAGCCCUUGUUCCUGCCUUUUUAGACAAUUGAAUGCUUAUAGCCAACCCCUGGCACCAGCGGGCCAGGCAGCUGCAGCACAUUCCAAAUAUUGCUCUAUUUAAAGCAUCCCAGGGCUCUCAGAGCAGCUGCAGAGGCAAACCUUAACUGCCAUUAAACCAGCAGAGGGGAAUGGCAGAACCAGCCCAGGCCCCGCUGUCCCGCCUGCUUGUGCCCGUGCUGCUGGCGCUGGGCUGGAUCCUGGGCUGUGCCCUCAUGGUGUACAUUGUCUUCUCCUGACCUUGGAGGGAUGGCAGUGCCACACAGAGCCCUGUGGUGAGAAGAACCUACAAUGAAGUUGAUCAAAAGAACUCAGAAGUUCAGUUUAGAUUUCUAAUUACUAAAAUACGUAUAAAAUGAGUUAUUUUUAAUAUCAGCCAUGUUAAUGCUGUGCACACUUUUUAUCCGUUAGGAAGCAUCACCAAACCUAUUUCCCUGUUCUCAGAUUAUUUGCAAUUUAGGGAGUGGUUUUUGGAAUCUCGUGGUAGGUCAGAUCCUGCCUGCUUGCUGAACAGCAAACUUUUAAAACAGCUACCCACCAGCUAAGGAGCUUCAAGCUUGGUAGAAA
rnacentral:lncRNA from 1 species